ACGAACGCUGGCGGCGUGCUUAACACAUGCAAGUCGAACGGAAAGGCCCUGCUUUUGUGGGGUGCUCGAGUGGCGAACGGGUGAGUAACACGUGAGUAACCUGCCCUUGACUUUGGGAUAACUUCAGGAGACUGGGGCUAAUACCGGAUAGGAGCUCCUGCUGCAUGGUGGGGGUUGGAAAGUUUCGGCGGUUGGGGAUGGACUCGCGGCUUAUCAGCUUGUUGGUGGGGUAGUGGCUUACCAAGGCUUUGACGGGUAGCCGGCCUGAGAGGGUGACCGGCCACAUUGGGACUGAGAUACGGCCCAGACUCCUACGGGAGGCAGCAGUGGGGAAUAUUGCACAAUGGGCGGAAGCCUGGUGCAGCAACGCCGCGUGCGGGAUGACGGCCUUCGGGUUGUAAACCGCUUUCGCCUGUGACGAAGCGUGAGUGACGGUAAUGGGUAAAGAAGCACCGGCUAACUACGUG
rnacentral:rRNA from 1 species